rnacentral:rRNA from 1 species
CAGUCGCCGCGGGAAUACGAAGGGUGCAAGCGUUACUCGGAAUUACUGGGCGUAAAGCGUGCGUAGGUGGUGGUUUAAGUCCGUUGUGAAAGCCCUGGGCUCAACCUGGGAAUUGCAGUGGAUACUGGAUCACUAGAGUGUGGUAGAGGAUAGUGGAAUUUCCGGUGUAGCAGUGAAAUGCGUAGAGAUCGGAAGGAACAUCUGUGGCGAAGGCGACUAUCUGGGCCAACACUGACACCGAGGCACGAAAGCGUGGGGAGCAAACAGGAUUAGAUACCCCCGUAGUCCCUGUCUCUUAUAC